CCUACGGGGGGCUGCAGUGGGGAAUAUUGGACAAUGGGGGCAACCCUGAUCCAGCCAUGCCGCGUGUGUGAAGAAGGCCCUCGGGUUGUAAAGCACUUUCAGUGAGGAAGAACGCCUGGUGGUUAAUACCCAUCAGGAAAGACAUCACUCACAGAAGAAGCACCGGCUAACUCCGUGCCAGCAGCCGCGGUAAUACGGAGGGUGCGAGCGUUAAUCGGAAUUACUGGGCGUAAAGCGCGCGUAGGUGGCUUGAUAAGCCGGUUGUGAAAGCCCCGGGCUCAACCUGGGAACGGCAUCCGGAACUGUCAAGCUAGAGUGUAGGAGAGGAAGGUAGAAUUCCCGGUGUAGCGGUGAAAUGCGUAGAGAUCGGGAGGAAUACCAGUGGCGAAGGCGGCCUUCUGGACUGACACUGACACUGAGGUGCGAAAGCGUGGGUAGCAAACAGGAUUAGAUACCCUAGUAGUC
rnacentral:rRNA from 1 species